UCCUGAUCCUAGUUGCUUCCUCUCCACAGCCGCACCUUUGCCUCCUCUUCCUAAGCCACCCGCCCGCCGCCUCGUCUCCAUUUGCUCGGUCCGUGCGGCGGCCACGAACAAGCUCACUGCACCGACCUCAGCCCUGGCCGACUUCAUGGCACCGCUGGUGUCCUCCUCAUCUCGACUGCUGCCCUCCACCCUAUCUCAAGGCUCAAUGUUGAGAUGCACAACAUGGAGGGGGCCAAGGGUGGCGCCCCAGCCAGCCCUCGAAGGGAUGGGGCCAGCGUGCGGCUUGUGGAGGAGGCCGAUGGUGGCCCAAUGCCCCCCAGCUCCUCUUUCCUCUCCUCUGUUGUCGUGUGCCUGCACCGGAACCCUAGGUGAGGAGAAGCGCAGCUGGAUCUGAGUGGGACUACAACCUUUGGGGAUACCUCUGUUGACGGUGAUGACUCUUAUCCAAUUUGGCUCUAGCUGGCCCUAGCAUCUCUCCUCUUGGGCAGCGGCUCCUAGGAGGCACCAUAAGUGGGGGAAUCGAAAAGGCAUGUUGGUGCUGGCUCUUAGGUAGUAAAAAGCUGGAUGGCAUAUAUCUCUGUUGAUGGCUAACAAUGAACCAGCACCUACUACUAGCUACUCUCAGGUCAUCACUUCAUGUUUUCAUUGCCACUACAUUGUAUAUUAUGUUUGAGUUGAAGGCUAUAAUUUUCUGCAACAACCAUUGUAAAAACUUUAGGAAUGGAAUGGUCCAUAUAAAAUGUGAUUUUAUUGCAACCAAGGUCUGCAUUUUGCAUAAUUGAUCUAUACAAUUUCAGCAUAGAAUUCGCGCCUACAAAUUUGGAGGACGAAAACGUCAUGGCGCUCUUCUCUGUCUUAACUGGCGCCUAAAUUUUUAGAGGCCCACUUGUCAGAUGAAAAAACUAAAACCUAGCCACUCCAAUCUAAUUUCCAGCAUCCUCGCAGACUCUAGAAACCGGUUCGUGACCCUCCCAUCCGUCCUCGCAUCCUCGAGCUCGCAGCGCCGUCCCGUCGCCCCCUGCAGGCCGGCGUCUCCCAGGCACUCCGCCCAGGCCAGCGUCUCCCCGGAGCCCCGCCCAGGCCGCGCGUCUUCCCGGCGCGUUGCCCAGGCCGGCGUCUCCCCGGCAUGACGCCCAAGCCGGCAGCCCUUCCGCUCGCCAACCUGUACAACUACUGCCCAGGCCGGUGCAAAAGAGAGAAGAGAUGGAGCUCAAGUUUAUUCUUUUUCAACUCCAAAUCUGUACAACUAUUGCUCAUGAAUUUAGAACUUUGUAAGAGUUGGAUCUCUAGUUUUCAUUGAUGGAUGUAAUCUUUUAUUUGCAGGUGGGAGGUAAUAGCUUGAGGUGGCCAUGCAGGAAGCAGUUGGCUGGAAGUGUGCAUGACUAGUGCAUUAUUUUGCACAUCCUAACUAGAGAUGAAUGCUUUUGUUAAGACUUAAAUUAUGAAUCAUUUUGUAAUGAGUGCAAGCAAACCAUGAGACGUGAGCUGUGCAACUAGUUCAAGCAUCUAUGCGCUAUGCAUAUAUCUUGAUGGCCAAACCGUACGUAUGCCAUGUAACUUAUUUGUGCAAGUUGUGGAAAAUAACACAAGACAAAUGUUUAUGGAUAUAAUAUAAUUGUGAGCUAUGAUGAACUUCAUUGUCA